rnacentral:rRNA from 1 species
CUUGUCCAAAGAUUAAGCCAUGCAUGUCUAAGUAUAAGCAAUUAUACAGCGAAACUGCGAAUGGCUCAUUAUAUAAGUUAUCGUUUAUUUGAUAGUACCUUACUACUUGGAUAACCGUGGUAAUUCUAGAGCUAAUACAUGCUAAAAAUCCCGACUUCGGAAGGGAUGUAUUUAUUAGAUUAAAAACCAAUGCCCUCCGGGGCUCACUGGUGAUUCAUGAUAACUCCUCGAAUCGCAUGGCCUUGCGCCGGCGAUGGUUCAUUCAAAUUUCUUCCCUAUCAACUUUCGAUGUUUGGGUAUUGGCCAAACAUGGUUGCAACGGGUAACGGAGGGUUAGGGCUCGACCCCGGAGAAGGAGCCUGAGAAACGGCUACUACAUCCAAGGAAGGCAGCAGGCGCGCAAAUUACCCAAUCCCGACACGGGGAGGUAGUGACAAUAAAUACUGAUACAGGGCUCUUUUGGGUCUUGUAAUUGGAAUGAGUACAAUUUAAAUCCCUUAACGAGGAACAAUUGGAGGGCAAGUCUGGUGCCAGCAGCCGCGGUAAUUCCAGCUCCAAUAGCGUAUAUUAAAGUUGUUGUGGUUAAAAAGCUCGUAGUUGAACCUUGGGCCUGGCUGGCCGGUCCGCCUCACCGCGUGUACUGGUCCGGCCGGGCCUUUCCCUCUGUGGAACCCCAUGCCCUUCACUGGGCGUGGCGGGGAAACAGGACUUUUACUGUGAAAAAAUUAAAGUGCUCCAGGCAGGCCUAUGCUCGAAUACAUUAGCAUGGGAAUAAUAAAAAUAAGGACGUGGGGGUUCUAUUUUGUUGGUUUCUAAGGACCGCCGUAAUGGAUUAAUAAGGGGACAGUCCGGGGGCAUCA